GACGAACGCUGGCGGCGUGCCUAAUACAUGCAAGUCGAACGCUUCUUUCCUCCCGAGUGCUUGCACUCAAUUGGAAAGAGGGGUGGCGGACGGGUGAGUAACACGUGUGUAACUUACCCAUCAAAGGGGGAUAACAAUUGGAAACAGGACCUAAUACCGCAUACCAGUUUAUGCCGCAUGGCAUAAGAGUUAAAGGCGCUUUCGGGGGCGGUGGAGGGAUGGACCGGCGGGGCAUUAGCUAGUUGGUGAGGUAACGGCUCACCAAGGCCACGAGGCAUAGACGACCUGAGAGGGUGAUCGGCCACACUGGGACUGAGACACGGCCCAGACUCCUACGGGAGGCAGCAGUAGGGAAUCUUCGGCAAUGGACGAAAGUCUGACCGAGCAACGCCGCGUGAGUGAAGAAGGUUUUCGGAUCGUAAAGCUCUGUUGUUAGGGAAGAACAAGGACGUUAGUAACUGAACGUCCCCUGACGGUACCUAACCAGAAAGCCACGGCUAACUACGUG
rnacentral:rRNA from 1 species